UCCCACUGUCGCCAAAGUGCUUGCUCAUAGGGGGUCAUAUGAUUGUUGGGUUUUCUCUGUAUUUAUUAUUGUGCUAUCUACUGUACAAUAUAAAGCGCCUUGAGGCGACUUUUGUUGUGAUUUGGCGCUAUAUAAAUAAAAUUGAAUUGAAUUGAAUAUACUGUUUUUUACCUUUAGGCUUUGUGUGAACAACUAAAGUGUGUUGCUUAUGAAAUCCAUGAAGUGCUACAGAGAAAAUUUCAUUUUGAUUUAUUUAAUUAACACAUUUUGAACUCUUAAAGAAUUAUAACAAAAGGAAAGACACCCAGCUGAACUAAAAUGAUCCAUGUAGCAAACAAAAUCUGCAAAAUUCUGCCUAAAUAUGUAUUUUACCUGGUUAAUGUGUAUGGCGGGGUGUGGUCUGCAGCGCCACUGUAUGGGAGUCGGACGCACUUGAGCGGCACCCGCAAUCUCGCCUCGCCGCCUUAAAGUCUGUGCUCUCUCUGCUGCUGUGUUGUCGGGCUGUGAGCUGAAAAGCUACAUUUGCCGACCCCUGCCCCUAGGCAUUUGUAUACCUGGAACUGAACCAGUGACCUUUCACUCACCAAGUAAAUGUAAUCAGUUCUCAGUUUUAAAGCUUGUUCCAUGUAGAACAGAGUGUGGCAUAGUGGCAACGUAACAGCGUUUGUAUUGAUUCACAUACAACCUAUAUACUGUUACAUUUGCAUUUGACUGAUUGCAUUUCAGGUAAAAUCUGCAUCACCUGGUUCAAAAGGCCUCUGAUUAAAAUCUUUACACAAAUAAAUACCCUGAGAAAAACUUCCACUAGUGCAUAAAAAACACAAUGAACCAAAAAAAAUAAUCUAAAAAAAACAAAUCAACAAAAUGUGACCAGCUCUUGAAAUGUUUAAACUUACGUAACAGUCCAAAGAGUCUCCUUCAUUAAAGAAACUGUUGAAGUUUGACAGAAAACAUUGGAUAUUGUAGCUACAUGGAACUUUCGUUGGUUUCAUAACACAAAAUAAUAGCAACCUGUCAGACUUUAUUCAGCUGACCAAUCAAUUUCAAACACCAUCAGACAAAUUAUUUAUAAUUCACAGAGCUUAUCUGUUUUUGAGAUAAUCAUGUACAAAUUUAAAAUAAAAUCAAAAUCUACAAAUUUGACAUCUACCUGCUGAAUGUUCAAUAUUGGUCAUGUCUGUCAUUCUUUUCUACUGUCACAUUAAAUGUAUUUUCAUAUUUCAGUGUCAACACCAAGAAUUUGGAACCUCAACAGGAGACUCUGAGUCAAUCUGGUAAAUCUUUGGGACAUUUCAAAACAAGCUGCUACCGACAGUAACAAGAAGAAGCAUGCUAAAAACUGUCAGACAAACUUUCAGCGGAACAGAUCCAUUUUCCCUCUGUUCAGCCUCCUUCCCUCCAGCCUCCUUCCCUCCAGCCUCCUUCCCUCCAGCCUUUGUGUGUCCUCCUGUCUGAGCUGCAGGUGAGAAACAGGUGUGAGGUGUCAGCUGUCAGGUAGGUGAUGAGUGAAGAACAGAACAGAAUCCAUUUCCUCUUCAAACUGCUGUCAGACAUUAUCUACUGCACUCUGAUCACAUCACUCAGACCAGCUGCUUUCUACAAAGUCUCAUCAACAACAUCUUUAGAAACAAACAUCAACAACCAGGAAGCAGCUUCACCUCUGAUCACACACACACUCAACUCUACUCACUCACCUGGAGGAACAACAUGAAGGUAGAUGAUGCUGAUGAUAGUCAGAGGUUCUCUCACUUGUGGGAUGACUCGACACUCGUAUGUUCCAGCGUCAUUAAUCGUCACAUUCUUCAGAAUCAAAGACACGUCUCCAUCCUUCAUCUGCCUGUCCUGCAGAUCCACCCGGUUCUUAAAAGAUGGAUGCUGGUUGGCUGAAUCAAAGUGACCAUCCUUAUAAUAAAGGACAUAAGCUUUACCCAGGUCAGCUCUGCUCCACUUAAAAAGAAUGAUGUUGUUGUUUGGAGCUCGACAUGUCAGAGUGACGUCCUGUCCAGACUCAGCUGUGAUGUUUU
ensembl:lncRNA